ACCGCGGGCUGCUGGCGUCUCACCUACCUAACAGAAAAGCAUCAGGGGGUUGGCGUCCCCCUCCCCGCAUGGCGGCUCAGUAUAGCCGCACCUCGUCCUCAGCCCUGGCACCGUCCUGCCUGUCAGGUGCCAGCGUAGCCUCACUGCCCAGGGCCACGAGCCACCCAGGACGUACUGGUGUAACACACAGCAGCUACUGCUGGUGGGGCCCACGGGACGACAAGGGCACAUGCCGCUGGCUUCCCUGGCCCCUUGCCAGCAGCGAAAGGGCAAUAAGUUACAUUUAAAAAUACAAAACGCUGUCCCCUCCCCAGACUACGUUCCCCUGUAGGCAAUUACUGUAGUUACCAGCAAGAUACCAUGACAUUGCCAGUGGAAGAUAUUCUAUGAUUCUACCUAUGAGCAUGAAGGGGAGGAAAGAGCUUGUCUUGUACAGACCAUUAAAAGCUGGGCCACAGUAAGCGUUGGAACAUUCAGCAAUGAGAUACCAAACUGAGUCCACUAACUUGUUUCACACAUACUCCUGAGCAGUCAGCAGGAGUUAGCCAUGUAAGAGACUGGACAGAAAUAGUAAUGGCAAGAAGAUGGAUGGUAUGAACAGAAAAUAAGAGAACUGAAGUUUUUUCAGUGUCGGACAAGAUGAUUCAAGGAUCACAGUCACCAAACAUGCAGUCAGGUUGAAAAGAGGAUAUAUAUAUUUUGGGAGUGGAGAUUGACAAUAGCAAAGUCCUCUUCCAACACCAACAGCAACAAACUGUUUCCAGCCAUGCCAGCACCCAGAGCACUUGAGGCAUGACUAUAAAAUGACUGUCACGUAACUGCCUAAAUCCAGCCACUUUGAUGCAGAAUCCAGCACCACUGAAGUCACCGGGCCCAGGACCAAGCCCACACUGGAUAAUGUAAUAGAGGUAUCUAAAAUAAUGACUGGUAUAGAGAAGAUAAAUCAGGCUUCCCUAUUUACCCUCUUUCCUAUAAUAGAAGAGCAAAGGGAUGCCCAGUAAAAUUAAAAGGCAACAAUACAACUUUUUUUAAUCCACACAACUAACCUGUACAGCCACAGUUGUCCAUUGACCAUAAGGAUUUUACAUCAUUCUCUGAAAUAUGAAGUCCUGGCCACUGUCAGAAACAUGAUAUGGGACUAAGCGGGACCAUUGAUCUCAUCUGGUAUAACAAUU